rnacentral:rRNA from 1 species
GAUGAACGCUGGCGGCGUGCGUAACACAUGCAAGUUGGACGACGGUGCUAUGAAGUGGUAACACGGAAUGGUAUACGGAGUAGCGGACGGGUGAGUAAAGCAUGAGGAGCUGUCCUGUUGAGGGGGAUAACGUUCGGAAACGGACCCUAAUACCCCAUAGGCCGAGAGGUUAAAGGCAGAGAUGCGCGACAGGAGGUACUCGUGUCCUAUCAGCUGGUUGGUGAGGUAACGGCUCACCAAGGCAACGACGGGUAGCCGGCCUGAGAGGGUGACCGGCCACACUGGAACUGAGACACGGUCCAGACUCCUACGGGAGGCAGCAGUGGGGAAUAUUGGGCAAUGGGAGAAAUCCUGACCCAGCGACGCCGCGUGAACGAAGACGGCCUUCCGGGUUGUAAAUUCUUUUAUGUGGGAAGAAGGAAGUGACGUACCACAUGAAUAAGCCCCG